AAUGUUAAACGGCCGCGGUAUUCUGACCGUGCUAAGGUAGCGUAAUCACUUGUCUUUUAAAUGAAGACCCGUAUGAACGGCAUCACGAGGGCUCAACUGUCUCCUCUCCCCAGUCAAUGAAAUUGAUCUGCCCGUGCAGAAGCGGACAUAAAAACAUAAGACGAGAAGACCCUAUGGAGCUUAAGACAAAAAGCCAAGCAUGUUAAACAACCCAUAAACCUAACGGAAUAAAAGGUAAUUAAGCCCUAUGCUGCAUGGCUGGAGUGUCUUCGGUUGGGGCGACCUCGGAGGAAAAACAAGCCUCCGCAUGGAAUGGGGAUACACCCCUAAAACUAAGAAACACAAAUCUAAGUAACAAAAUAUUUGACCAACAAUGACCCGGACUCGAUCCGAUCAAUGAACCAAGUUACCCUAGGGAUAACAGCGCAAUCCUUUCCCAGAGUCCAUAUCGACGAAGGGGUUUACGACCUCGAUGUUGGAUCAGGACAUCCUAAUGGUGCAGCCGCUAUUAAGGGUUCGUUUGUUCAACGAUUAAAGUCCUACGUGAUCUGAGUUCAGACCG
rnacentral:rRNA from 1 species